AAGCGGAGGAAAAGAAACCAACAGGGAUUGCCUUAGUAACGGCGAGUGAAGCGGCAACAGCUCAAAUUUGAAAUCUGGCCCUUGGGUCCGAAUUGUAAUUUGUAGAGGAUGAUUUUGGUGCGGUAUCUUCCGAGUUCCUUGGAACAGGACGCCUUAGAGGGUGAGAGCCCCGUACGGUUGAAUGCCUAGCCUCUGUAAAUCUCCUUCGACGAGUCGAGUAGUUUGGGAAUGCUGCUCUAAAUGGGAGGUAAAUUUCUUCUAAAGCUAAAUAUUGGCCAGAGACCGAUAGCGCACAAGUAGAGUGAUCGAAAGAUGAAAAGCACUUUGAAAAGAGGGUUAAAUAGCACGUGAAAUUGUUGAAAGGGAAGGAUUUGUGACCAGACUUUUUCUGGGCGGAUCAUCCGGGGUUCUCUCCGGUGCACUUCGCCCAGUAAAGGCCAGCAUCGGUUUUCGGCGUGGGAUAAAAGCAGUAGGAAUGUGGCUCUCUACGGGGAGUGUUAUAGCCUAUUGUAUAAUACCGCGCUG
rnacentral:rRNA from 1 species